rnacentral:rRNA from 1 species
CCUACGGGUGGCAGCAGUGGGGGAUAUUGCACAAUGGGGGGAACCCUGAUGCAGCGACGCCGCGUGGGUGAAGGAGCGUUUCGGCGCGUAAAGCUCUAUCGGCAGGGAAGAAGAUGACGGUACCUGACCAAGAAGCCCCGUCCAACUACGUGCCAGCAGCCGCGGUAAUACGGAGGGGGCAAGCGUUAUCCGGAUUUACUGGGUGUAAAGGGGGCGAAGACGGCAAUGGAAGCCAGGAGUGAAAGUCCGGGGCCCAACCCCGGGACUGCUGUUGAAACUGGAUGGCUGGAGUACAGGAGGGGCAGGCGGAAUUCGUGGUGUAGCGGUGAAAUGCAUAGAUAUUAGGAGGAACACCGGUGGCGAAGGCAGCCUGCUAGACUGUGACUGACAUUGAGGCCCGAAGGCGUGGGGAGCAAACAGGAUUAGAUACCCUAGUAGUC